rnacentral:rRNA from 1 species
GAACGCUGGCGGCGUGCCUAACACAUGCAAGUCGAGCGGACUGACUAGAAUAGCUUGCUAGACUAGACAGUUAGCGGCGAACGGGUGAGUAACGCGUGGGUAAUCUGCCCUUAAGACCGGGACAACAGAUCGAAAGGCCUGCUAAUACCGGAUAAUCUGUUUACAGGAAAGGUGGCCUCUAUACUGUGCUACCGCUUAAGGAUGAGCCCGCGUCCCAUUAGCUAGUUGGAAGGGUAAAGGCCUACCAAGGCAACGAUGGGUAGCCGGCCUGAGAGGGUGACCGGCCACACUGGGACUGAGACACGGCCCAGACUCCUACGGGAGGCAGCAGUGGGGAAUCUUCCGCAAUGGACGAAAGUCUGACGGAGCAACGCCGCGUGAGUGAUGAAGGCCUUCGGGUCGUAAAACUCUGUCUUUAGGGAAGAACUAGCGUAGUGAAAACAUUGCUAUGUUUUGACGGUACCUAAGGAGGAAGCCACGGCUAACUACGUGCCAGCAGCCGCGGUAAUAC